GCAUUAAUGGGGUAGUGGUAACCUGGGUCGUUGCCAUACAAUCUCGACCCGCCGGGGGUUCGAUUCCCCCUUAAUGCA